UACGUAGGGGGCUAGCGUUGUCCGGAAUCAUUGGGCGUAAAGAGCGUGUAGGCGGCUCGGUAAGUCCGCUCUGAAAGCCCGGGGCUCAACCCCGGGAGGCGGGCGGAUACUGUCGAGCUAGAGUCCGGAAGAGGCGAGUGGAAUUCCUGGUGUAGCGGUGAAAUGCGCAGAUAUCAGGAAGAACACCCAUGGCGAAGGCAGCUCUCUGGGACGGUACUGACGCUGAGACGCGAAAGCGUGGGGAGCGAACAGG
rnacentral:rRNA from 1 species